rnacentral:rRNA from 1 species
CUACGGGGCGCAGCAGUGAGGAAUUUUGCGCAAUGGGGGAAACCCUGACGCAGCAACGCCGCGUGAGCGAAGAAGGCCCUCGGGUCGUAAAGCUCUGUCAAGUGGGAAAAAAGCCUUUUGAUCAAUACCCAAAAGGUUUGAUGGUACCACUGGAGGAAGCACCGGCUAACUCCGUGCCAGCAGCCGCGGUAAUACGGAGGGUGCAAGCGUUGUUCGGAAUUACUGGGCGUAAAGGGCGUGCAGGCGGUUUGGCAAGUCAGAUGUGAAAGCCCUGGGCUUAACCCGGGAAGUGCAUUUGAAACUGCCUUUCUUGAGUAUGGGAGAGGAGAGUGGAAUUCCCAGUGUAGAGGUGAAAUUCGUAGAUAUUGGGAGGAACACCCGUGGCGAAGGCGACUCUCUGGACCAAUGCUGACGCUGAGACGCGAAAGCGUGGGGAGCAAACAGGAUUAGAUACCCGAGUAGUC